AUUGAACGCUGGCGGCAGGCCUAACACAUGCAAGUCGAGCGGUAGAGGGAAGCUUGCUUCUCUUGAGAGCGGCGGACGGGUGAGUAAUGCCUAGGAAUCUGCCUGGUAGUGGGGGAUAACGUUCGGAAACGGACGCUAAUACCGCAUACGUCCUACGGGAGAAAGCAGGGGACCUUCGGGCCUUGCGCUAUCAGAUGAGCCUAGGUCGGAUUAGCUAGUUGGUGGGGUAAUGGCUCACCAAGGCGACGAUCCGUAACUGGUCUGAGAGGAUGAUCAGUCACACUGGAACUGAGACACGGUCCAGACUCCUACGGGAGGCAGCAGUGGGGAAUAUUGGACAAUGGGCGAAAGCCUGAUCCAGCCAUGCCGCGUGUGUGAAGAAGGUCUUCGGAUUGUAAAGCACUUUAAGUUGGGAGGAAGGGCAGUAAAUUAAUACUUUGCUGUUUUGACGUUACCGACAGAAUAAGCACCGGCUAACUCUGUG
rnacentral:rRNA from 1 species